CAGGACUUCAACAGAAAGUUCAGCAUAAUUCUAAUUUUGGUACCAACCAAUUGAACACAAGGUCCUUUGGCUCUGUCAAAAUAGGAAGAGGAAGAGUGGAUAGGUCUUCAGAUGCCUUCCCAUCACAAGUACCACCUUCACCAUGGCUACCAUUUGCCAGAAUGGCUUUUAAAGGCAGAGUCAAGAGACCUACUCAGAGGAGGAUGAGAACGUUUCAGGAAUGGCAGUAAGGGGUCAGUGCCUUAUUCAGCCAUCAUCAAAGAGGCUUCUUCCUGCAGCAGAUGGGAACAAAUACAGAGACCACACCCAGACAUCAUACAAAGAGAGGGACCUUGGAACACAUGUCUCUAAAUAAAGGAGAUGUCUCCAUCAAAUUCUUCCCCUUGAGAAAGUGGAAGAAGGAAGACUGUGAGAGGCAGAGGGAUGGAAAAUACCAGGGGAACUACAUCCUUCUAAAGCAACUGAGAAAAACUCAUGUGAACUCCUUUCCCCUAGCUGGGCUGUCUUGUGUGGCCUUAGUGAGAGAAGAUGCAUUUAGUCCUACUUCGACUUGAUGUCCCAGCUCAGGAUGGUCCCUCAAGGGCAGGUCCCCUUCUCAAAGGAGAAGGGAAUGAGGUAAUAGAGAGAGGGAUUUGUGAGGGUGAGACUGAGAGGAGAGGUGGGAGGGGCUGCAACUGGAAAGUAAAGGAAAUGAAAAAAUUAAAGAAAAUAAAGGAGACAGAUUUAAAAAACUCUUUUGAAACUCUUUUUAGAUUUUAAAAGGUUUUUAUCUGGUAGAAUAUGUAUAGAAAAGGCUUAAUUUAAGCCUUAA
ensembl:lncRNA